ACCAGCGGGAUCCAUUCAGAAUCACCGACGCGACAGCUGAAGGACGUUGUUUUCCUACGACAAAUUACGCGCGCGUUUGCCGCUUUCGACGCGCAGCGUCGACGCGUGUGCGUCCUCCUGUGUUGUCUACACACACCAACACACAACGUACGCACACCAUAACGCUGACCUACCCCACUGAGAAUCGUGUUUCAAUACAGAAACCGAAAACCAUAUCAUUAUGUUGAAGCUCGUAGCAAACUUUCGUAGCAAAUGCGCGCGCGCAAUCGACUAACCUUUGCGAGGGCCAGUUAGCGCGUUUCACAGGUGUGUGUUAAUACACGUGAUAAUCGAGCACGCGUGCCGCUAAGAAAACAUUUUUCUGUAGUAAGAUCGAUGGAGUGUUUGGAGUAAGAAUGACGGAGAGUUUAGAUGCAUACAUAUAUUGUAAGAUCGAAGGGAUGUUUGGAUGUGUACAUAUGAUGUAAAUUGACUCUGUAUCUUGGGGGUUAUGUCGAGUGAAGUUAGUAGUUUAUCGGCCUCUGAUCGUCUCCAAAAAAUCACGUUUCGUGCUCGCAACCAACAAUUGCACAAUACGAUUUCGCGGUUUCAUUGCGGUGCUUACAGGUUGAGGAUUUUUCAAAGAAGUUGCGUUAUACUCCUUCUACUCUUACUCGACAUGUAAGUACCAUAUGUAGGUCACUCUAUUCUAUGCAGUUUUAUCAUAGAAAAUAUUGAAAUUUUUCAAGGUUUCACAAUAUAGUUCUAUUUAUAGAUAUAUAACAAGGAAUACCAAAUCAUUUAAAAUCAUUCUACUAUAUAUGUUCUUCAUCGAAAAAUUGUAUUCUAUUUUCUACUAGGAAGCAUGUUAAAUUAACAGUGUUGCGGGUAAACUAUGAUUACCAAACAAAUAUUAUGUUUCUUUAC